GCUAAGCAUAUGGAAUAUGCUGCUGCUUUAGCAAAGGAGCUUGGGCGCUAGAAUGAAGUAUCUGAUUUCUAUCACAGAGCUUCAGAAUUAUACCGUGAAUGUGGAAGGCCACAACCUGCAUCUGAUGCUCUAGCAAAGGGUGCCAGUGCAUUGGAGGAGAAAUCUCCAGAAGAAGCUAUCAAAAUGUAUGAUGAGGCUUGUUCAGUACUA